rnacentral:rRNA from 1 species
UGGGCUUGAACUGCAGUGGACCGGUGCAGAGAUGUGCCUUUUCGCAAGAACUGCUGCAGAGGUGCUGCAUGGCUGUCGUCAGCUCGUGUCGUGAGAUGUUGGGUUAAGUCCCGCAACGAGCGCAACCCUUACCCGUAGUUGCCAGCGCGUCAUGGCGGGAACUCUACGGGGACUGCCCGGGUUAACCGGGAGGAAGGUGGGGAUGAUGUCAAGUCCUCAUGGCCCUUAUGUCCAGGG